CUACGGGCGGCUCCAGUAAGGAAUAUUGCGCAAUGGAGGCAACUCUGACGCAGCCAUGCCGCGUGCAGGAAGAAGGCCUUAUGGGUCGUAAACUGCUUUUAUUUAGGAAUAACCCCCUGCUCGUGAGCAGGGCUGAAGGUACUAAAAGAAUAAGCACCGGCUAACUCCGUGCCAGCAGCCGCGGUAAUACGGAGGGUGCAAGCGUUAUCCGGAUUUAUUGGGUUUAAAGGGUGCGCAGGCGGGCUAUUAAGUCAGUGGUGAAAUCCCGGGGCUCAACUCCGGAACUGCCGUUGAUACUGAUAGUCUUGAGUUUGGUUGAAGUGGGCGGAAUGUAGCAUGUAGCGGUGAAAUGCAUAGAUAUGCUACAGAACACCAAUCGCGAAGGCAGCCCACUAAGCCAAAACUGACGCUCAUGCACGAAAGCGUGGGGAGCAAACAGGAUUAGAUACCCCUGUAGUC
rnacentral:rRNA from 1 species